UUUGUUUUCUGUUUGUUUAUGGCACUUGCCAAACUUAGGCUUUCAUGGCCUUUGUUACCUCUUCUUGUGGUCCAACCUUCCUUGCCAGAGAUACAGAAACUGGGAUGAUGUAGAAGGAAUGCUUGUUUUAUACCUAAAUGGGAAGUAGGAUGUCAAUCUCUGGCAACUUUUUGUCUUCUUCUUGUGAAGAGAAUGUUGACACCCCACCCUCUGUGUUUUGUUUUUUUUUUUCAACCUUGGUGUUACCAGAUGAUUCUCUCAUGUUUAGUUAAGAAAGAGGCCAUUUUUCCUGCCUAUUUUCCAUGGCAGAGGAUUUUCCCUCUCUUGAGAGCUCAGCCAUCUAACAGGUUUACAGCCUGUAGUAGUUAUUCUAGGAGUACUCUGAUCCCAGUUCUUACCUUGUUACCCACUGGGUACUGAGACUCCAUGCUGCUUUAGUGGUGCAAACAGCAGUUCUACAAGAGCUGGAUAGUGAUGCGGUUAUUAACUGCGCUACGGAAACUGUUGGCGCUAUAUAAAUAGCGAUAACUGGCUGAGAUAUAAAUAAUAGUCACAUAUCCAGUCUCAGCCAAUGAAUUACAUUCUGGGCGACACCUCAAUAAUGUUGCCGGUGGUGGAGUUACACCUCUGGCAGAAAACGUGUUGAUUCAUUAUUUGCAGCACUUCAUAGCAAAACAUGAUACACAGACUCUAGGCACCAUGACAACUUAAAAUCACUUAAAGGGUUACAACAAGCACUGUAACCACUUAAUAAAACAUUGAGGACUUAAUUUGGAGAUGUAUUUACAUCAGUUAUUCCUCUUAGGGUAACUGCUAGCAGAGGAAACCGAAUGAUGCUGCCAAUAAAAACUGCCAAAAGAAGAAUUGGAUAGUAAAUAAUGUAAGAACUUUCUUUUAAUAUACUGGUCAUUCUGGCGUUACCAUUUCCCUUUAUAUUAAAAUGUCUGUUCUCUAACAUUUCAGGUUGAGACCCAUCUUUAAUUGCUCAACAAUGAGCCAGGGCUGAGACAUUAAACAUGAAUAUACAAUAUGAUGCUUCAAUAUUCUCCCAAUACAUACUUUUUUUAACUAGCCCCUAUUUACCUAAAUUAAUCUGCGUCCUGCAACACAGUGAAAUAAGAAUCAAUCCGCUAUUCCAUGCGUCUUGUUGAUAUCACCCACCUGUAAAGAGGUAGUCUUAUGCGGAGAAGUGUUUUUUUUUUUUUUUUUUUAAAGCAUUUAAAGUGUGAGGGGCAUAGAUAGGACAAGCUUGAUUACAUGAUUUUUAUACUUUUAAUCUGGCCAGUCAUAUCAAAGGUGUAGAAGAUACACCUUUAUAUGCAGGGUCAGUUCGGAAUGACUGAAUAAACCGGUUGCUCCUUGGUACUUUUUACAAAUAAUCAUGGCUCGGACUUGGAUUGAAAAGCUGCUUACUGUUACUG